rnacentral:rRNA from 1 species
ACGCUGGCGGCAGGCCUAACACAUGCAAGUCGAGCGGUAGCACAGGAGAGCUUGCCCUCUGGGUGACGAGCGGCGGACGGGUGAGUAAUGUCUGGGAAACUGCCUGAUGGAGGGGGAUAACUACUGGAAACGGUAGCUAAUACCGCAUGACCUCGCAAGAGCAAAGUGGGGGACCUUCGGGCCUCACGCCAUCGGAUGUGCCCAGAUGGGAUUAGCUAGUAGGUGGGGUAAUGGCUCACCUAGGCGACGAUCCCUAGCUGGUCUGAGAGGAUGACCAGCCACACUGGAACUGAGACACGGUCCAGACUCCUACGGGAGGCAGCAGUGGGGAAUAUUGCACAAUGGGCGCAAGCCUGAUGCAGCCAUGCCGCGUGUGUGAAGAAGGCCUUAGGGUUGUAAAGCACUUUCAGCGAGGAGGAAGGCGCUGUAGUUAAUAGCUGCAGCGAUUGACGUUACUCGCAGAAGAAGCACCGGCUAACUCCGUGCCAGCAGCCGCGGUAAUACGGAGGGUGCAAGCGUUAAUCGGAAUUACUGGGCGUAAAGCGCACGCAGGCGGUUUGUUAAGUCAGAUGUGAAAUCCCCGAGCUUAACUUGGGAACUGCAUUUGAAACUGGCAAGCUAGAGUCUUGUAGAGGGGGGUAGAAUUCCAGGUGUAGCGGUGAAAUGCGUAGAGAUCUGGAGGAAUACCGGUGGCGAAGGCGGCCCCCUGGACAAAGACUGACGCUCAGGUGCGAAAGCGUGGGGAGCAAAC